rnacentral:lncRNA from 1 species
GCGACCACACCGGGCUAAUUUUUGGUAUUUUUAGUAGAGACGGUGUUUCACCAUGUUAGCCAGGAUGGUCUCAAUCUCCUGACCUCGUGAUCCGCCCACCUUGGCCUCCCAAAGUGCUGGGAUUACAGGCUUGCGCCACUGCGCCCGGCCACAAAGCUGUUUUUUGGUUUAUUUUAUUUUUCUUCUUGGAUGGUUAUAAACGUCGCAGCAUGUCAGACUCAACAUUCCGAUCUUGGAUUGCAACUGGCCGGUAGCCAGACACUCUGAAAGGGUCUGUACAUGGAACAGACUGGGCAUUGUUGGUGGUAUGUACUGCAGUUCCAUGGAAACCAUGUCUAUGAGUCAGAAAGCAAACACCAGGCCUGUUGUAUUGAUACCAGGAGGUGUGUUACUAAUAUAACACCUGACAUGUGUGAACUGGCCAGACAUCUCCCCAAGAGAUGCUGUACAGGAUGCCAUGAGGGUUGGAGCUAAUUGGAAGUAUAAUCCAUGACUAUUUGGGGAAGGCAAAAUCAUACCAUCCUAGAGGCAGGCCCAUUCCUUUGGCUUCUCAGUGGGGAGCUUGUUUUCUUAUUAGUGCUGAUGGUUUUAUUGCAGUCAGUGGAAGACAAGAGACCAUUUGCUUCUUGCACAUCAAUCAAUCACUUCUGGUCCUGAGGCCUCAGCAGAAAGCAGGCCACACAGCUUCACUCCUGAAUUCUUGGAGAGCACUCAAACAAGUGAGCUAAUAACUACAAGACUCUAGUGAAUCAGACUUUAUGGUCGGAAGAAGUGUGAAGAAAAACCCAAAUGUCUUCAAAUGAUUAAGUAAAACAGGUUGCUUAUCUAUUGUUUUCUAGGCAUCAUGAGCCUGCUCUAAGCCAAGGUUUGCUAACGAAGGCCUUUAGCCUGUUUUGUAUGGCCCACAAACUAAAAAUGUUUUUAAAGCAUUGUUUUUUAAAAAAAAAAAUCCCAAAAGCAGAGAAUAUGGGACAAAGACUGUAUGUGGCCCACAAACCCUAAAGUAUUUACUAUCUGAUCUUUUACAGUAAAAAUGUCUAAGCAAUAAGGUGCAAUAAUGAAGAUAAGUUUCUCAUUUAUAGCUGCCAUACCACUUCUCUGUCUUCCUCAGAGUCCACCUGAAUUGUCAGUGGGCCCAGGAGAGGACUUUGACUUUGACUUAAGGGAUUCUAUGAGAACCAUGUGUAGUUUUGGGGUUUCCUGCACCACUUUCAGGUAGGCCUUAGUAUAACCUAACAGUGCUUUAUGUUUGUGCUCAGCAGGUCAUUAGAUGGAGAACCAAGGGCUUACAGAAAUUACACUGAACAUGAAUUAGAAAGAUCCCCUCUAAUUCCCCAGACCAUAACAGGGCUUCCAGUACAGCCAGCCUUUCAGCGAUUACACAUGUUCAUCAGAUCUUUGGAGCCAUUUAAUACUUUGGUGUUUUUCCUCUAAUACUCUUCUUUAAGAGCUGGCCCCCCUCCAAAGUUUUGGAAAGAUAAGAUUCUAAAUUAAUUCCUAAAUUCUCUAGUUAGAUAGAGACUGCCUUUCAGUCCAGGUUCUUCUUUGUUCUUUGAUCUGGAUCCCAGGAGAGUCAUGAAUGUUUCUGCUGCUGCAGCUUUUUCUGAAUAUUGCUGGUAUCUUGAAGGAAAAUCUUCAGUCUGCUGAUGUACCCCUAGGCUGACUACAGAGGGCUGACGGUAGGGGAGUUGGAGCAGGGAGCAUCCUUUGUCUUGCUUUCUUUUUGGGCCAACACAAAUCCCAAGGCUCAUAUGGGUAGGGUAAUCCCUGCCCUCUGAGGCUAAGCACCGCCCAUACCUGCAGACUGGGUGAGAACCUGGGAUUUAAACAAACUCCAGGGCUGGCAUACAGCACCAUUUCUUUUUAUCAUUUCCCCUACUCUUCUUUGAUGUUACCCCAGCUCAGGCCCUCAUCAUCAAUCACUGAGACCAGAGGGGUGACCUCUUCAGAGAUGACUCUAAUCCCCAAAGUAAAUUCAGUCUACCCUAUACCCUAUUUCCAGGGAGCUGAAAACAUAGCCAUAUCACCAAAAGUUAAAACCUUUCUUUUGGUUCCCCAUUGCCUACAAAAUAAAAGUUCAACCCUGCCACAGUAUUUUGAAAUCUGCCUACUUCCCUAGUAGAUCUGCCUCCUUCCUUACCCCACCUCUUGUCCUUCAGCCAUGGUUACUGAGAGGCAGGCAGUUUCUUAAGCAGACUGCUUCACUCAUGCCUUUACUCAUGCUGGUCCCACCACCUCCUAAAAUGCCAUCCCUCGCUUUUUCCCAGUUUGCUUUACUAAUCAUCUUUCUUUUCUUCUUUUCUUUUCUUUCUUUUUUUUUUUUUUUGAGAGAAGUCUCACUCUUAUCCCCCAGGUUUGAGUACAAUGGCUCGAUCUCGACUCACUGCAACCUCUGCCUUCCAGGUUCAAAUGAUUCUCCUGCCUCUGCCUCCCAAGUAGCUGGGAUUAAGUCGCCUGCCACAAGCCUGGCUAAUUUUUGUAUAUUUUAGUAGAGACGGGGUUUUACCAUGUUGGCCAGGCUGGUCUCGAACUCCUGACCUCAGGUGAUCCGCCCGCCUUGGCCUCCCAAAGUGCUGGGAUUACAGGCGUGAGCCACUGCACUUGGCCUACUAAUCAUCUUCCAAGUUGAGAUCAUGGGUCAUGUUAAGGGUUGAAAUAUAUCCCCCUGAAAGAUAUUCAAGUUCUAAACCCCAAUACCUGUGAAUGUAACCUUAUUUGGAAAUAGGGUAUUUGCAGAUGAUCAAGUCAAGAAUGGGGUCGUUAAAGUAGGCCCUAAUCCAAAAUGACUGUUGUCCUUACAAAAAGGAGAAAUUUGGACACAGAGACAGACAUGCAUAGAAGGAAGACAAUGAGAAGACAUAGGGAGGAGAUGGCCAUCCAUAAGCCAAGAAAUGACUCAGGCCGCAAGAAGCUAGGAAAGAAUCAUGGAACUGAUUCCCUCUCCCAGCCUUCAAAGGGAACCAACACUGCCAACACCUGGAUUUAAGACUUCCCACCUCCAGAACUGUGAGACAAUAAAGUUCUGUUGUUUGAGCCAGCAAGUUUGUAAUAUUUUCUUACAGCAGCUCUAGCAAACUAAUACAUGUCACUUUUGGUGUACAACCU